rnacentral:rRNA from 1 species
UACGAAGGGGGCUAGCGUUGCUCGGAAUCACUGGGCGUAAAGCGCACGUAGGCGGAUCGUUAAGUCGGAGGUGAAAUCCUGGAGCUCAACUCCAGAACUGCCUUCGAUACUGGCGAUCUUGGAGUCCGGGAGAGGUGAGUGGAACUGCGAGUGUAGAGGUGAAAUUCGUAGAUAUUCGCAAGAACACCAGUGGCGAAGGCGGCUCACUGGCCCGGUACUGACGCUGAGGUGCGAAAGCGUGGGGAGCAAACAGG